rnacentral:rRNA from 1 species
CUUUAUCACCGAGUGCUUGCACUCACCGAUAAAGAGUUGAGUGGCGAACGGGUGAGUAACACGUGGGCAACCUGCCCAAAAGAGGGGGAUAACACUUGGAAACAGGUGCUAAUACCGCAUAACCAUAGUUACCGCAUGGUAACUAUGUAAAAGGUGGCUAUACUACCGCUUUUGGAUGGGCCCGCGGCGCAUUAGCUAGUUGGUAGGGUAAAGGCUUACCAAGGCAAUGAUGCGUAGCCGAAUUGAGAGGUUGAUCGGCCACAUUGGGACUGAGACACGGCCCAAACUCCUACGGGAGGCAGCAGUAGGGAAUCUUCCACAAUGGGCGAAAGCCUGAUGGAGCAACGCCGCGUGGGUGAAGAAGGUCUUCGGAUCGUAAAACCCUGUUGUUAGAGAAGAAAGUGCGUGAGAGUAACUGUUCACGUUUCGACGGUAUCUAACCAGAAAGCCACGGCUAACUACGUGCCAGCAGCCGCGGUAAUACGUAGGUGGCAAGCGUUAUCCGGAUUUAUUGGGCGUAAAGGGAACGCAGGCGGUCUUUUAAGUCUGAUGUGAAAGCCUUCGGCUUAACCGGAGUAGUGCAUUGGAAACUGGGAGACUUGAGUGCAGAAGAGGAGAGUGGAACUCCAUGUGUAGCGGUGAAAUGCGUAGAUAUAUGGAAGAACACCAGUGGCGAAAGCGGCUCUCUGGUCUGUAACUGAC